CAACCAAGUUAUUUUCUGUCUAUAUUGAGUUUCAAAUUGGUUGUAAUGUUCAUUUAAUAACUUUUUUUAGUUUUAAAGCACAGUGGAGUGAAAAAAAUGAUGGAAAACAUGCUAUGUUUCAGAUUAUCACUUAUUAAACGCACCUGCCUAAACAGAAAAAAGCCUGCCCGUUAUGUGAUUUACCUAGGCUGUAGCUUAGUUCAAGCUCGAUUAUGGUACAGUAACUUGUAACGAAAUACUCGUCAACAAAUCGGGAUUGACACUAGAAACUCUGUUAUCAUCAACGAAGAAAUUCAAUCCCAGCCGAAGUCGUUGAGAUUUUUAUGUGGUGAAAAUAAAAAUCUGCGGACACGCUUCCUUCGGAAGGAAAGUUAAACCGUUGGUCCCCGGCCCAUGAGUUCAUGAGAUAUCUAGUCCAGAUAGUGAAGUCACCUCUCUGGCAUCGGUGUUUACCUUCGUAGCAGAAAUAGGCCAACGGAAAAUAACGAAGAAGCCCACAAUCUAUUGCGAAGUAUUCACAGUUACGUAUGGACUGCAAGGCAUUUGCUAUUUCGGAGCCUCGAAGCAUUUUGUCAAGAACCUCCCCAGUGAUAGCAGAUAUAUUGUCGUAUCUUUGAUGAUGACGGACAAGAAUACUAUUAGCUAACGAAAAGACUGUCGGUCAGUGAUAUUAUUAAUUUCGACGUAUCUGAAUAUCGCCCCCAGAUGACAGCGAAAAGACAGCAACAGCGAGGAUUAAACAUGAUCCCAAUGCGUCGCUGCCGUCAUCCGAGUUUUCCCAUCAAUGGGGCAGAAAAACUUGUCAGCGUGAUUGGCAAAUUAUCCGUCCACAUUGUGUGUGAUCGUACACCUGAGGCAGAGAACCAUCUUUCAGACUAACUAUUGAGAUGGCUUCGAAUUCAGAUGAUUGUACCAGAUUGGGAACUACAUGUAUGGAGUUCGUAUGGCUUUCCCGGAAGUUAGAAACGAUUUUUUUCUGUUUUAUGUACAGUUUCAGACUACACUUA